GGGGGUACGGCUCAGUGUUAGAGCGCUCCCUUAGUACGGGAGAGGGCCGGGGUUCGAUUAACUAUCUUCCCU